rnacentral:rRNA from 1 species
CUGCCUGAUGGAGGGGGAUAACUACUGGAAACGGUAGCUAAUACCGCAUAACGUCGCAAGACCAAAGAGGGGGACCUUCGGGCCUCUUGCCAUCGGAUGUGCCCAGAUGGGAUUAGCUAGUAGGUGGGGUAACGGCUCACCUAGGCGACGAUCCCUAGCUGGUCUGAGAGGAUGACCAGCCACACUGGAACUGAGACACGGUCCAGACUCCUACGGGAGGCAGCAGUGGGGAAUAUUGCACAAUGGGCGCAAGCCUGAUGCAGCCAUGCCGCGUGUAUGAAGAAGGCCUUCGGGUUGUAAAGUACUUUCAGCGGGGAGGAAGGCGAUAAGGUUAAUAACCUUGUCGAUUGACGUUACCCGCAGAAGAAGCACCGGCUAACUCCGUGCCAGCAGCCGCGGUAAUACGGAGGGUGCAAGCGUUAAUCGGAAUUACUGGGCGUAAAGCGCACGCAGGCGGUCUGUCAAGUCGGAUGUGAAAUCCCCGGGCUCAACCUGGGAACUGCAUUCGAAACUGGCAGGCUAGAGUCUUGUAGAGGGGGGUAGAAUUCCAGGUGUAGCGGUGAAAUGCGUAGAGAUCUGAAGGAAUACCGGUUGGCAAAAGCGGGCCCCCUGGAACAAGGACUGGACGCUCAAGUGCCGAAAGGCGUGGGGGAGCAAAAC